rnacentral:rRNA from 1 species
UACAGAGGGUGCAAGCGUUAAUCGGAAUUACUGGGCGUAAAGCGCACGUAGGCGGAUUGCUAAGUCAGGGGUGAAAUCCUGGAGCUCAACUCCAGAACUGCCUUUGAUACUGGCGAUCUUGAGUCCGGGAGAGGUGAGUGGAACUGCGAGUGUAGAGGUGAAAUUCGUAGAUAUUCGCAAGAACACCAGUGGCGAAGGCGGCUCACUGGCCCGGUACUGACGCUGAGGUGCGAAAGCGUGGGGAGCAAACAGG